GGACAGGAUCGGUGCCCCGACAGGGACUAGAACCCGGUGUGCCCGCGCCGCAAGGCGGAGGAUUAGCCUAGUGAGCCGCAGCGCCGGCCUGAACUGAUUCUUUUUUUUUUUUUUAAUUGGCCGAGGCCCUGCACCAGGCAUGGGAGGAGCACCGUGCCCCUCCCCUUCGGGGGUCUCCGAGUCAGUGUACAUGGACAGGUGAGGAGCAGGACGAGGACUUCUGAUGGUUUCCCAGCUCCAACCGGCUCUCCUGGUCUGGCUCUCCCAGAUGAGGAAUGCCCUGCCAGUGUUCCCAGGCAGCAGCUCCUCAGCCUGCUGCCGGCUCAGGCCCUCAUACAGCCAGCCGUGGGAGACUCUGGCCGCGUGGACACAGUACUCCCGGCCCGAGCUUCUGACAGCACUGUCCACCAGUCUCCGCCCUCGGAGACGAUGGUCAGCGGCUCCCCCAGUCACAGAGACAGCUCGGCCUGCCUGCCUUCCGGGAAGCUGCCCAGGGCCACAGCUGCGGCCUUGCUCUUCUUGUGACCAGGGCAGCUCCCAGGACAAGAGCAGGCCCCUGAACUGAUUCUGUAGAGAUGGGUGUUUCUCAGACCUGAGUAACACAGGGGCCCUUUGAAAGAAAUGGUCCAGGGUUCCUGAGAGUAAGUCUGCAGACCCACUUUGCAAAUUAGUUAUUAGAUUAUUCUGACCAUACAAUCAAAGGCCAGGUGGACAUCCAUGACAACCUCACAGGCAUUUUACAGACUGUGAAGUUAGACCAUGAAGAUCAGUUCUGAAAUAGCCAUAUCAAAAUCCUGCCUGGGGCCAGCACUGUGAUGUAGUGGGUAAAGCUGCUGCCUGCAUCCCAUAUGGGUGCCGGUUCGAGUCCUGGCUGCUCCAUUUCCAAUCCAGCUCUCUGCUGUGGCCUGGGAAAGCAGUAGAAGAUGGCCCAAGUCCUUGGGCCCCUGAACCCGCAUGGAGACCUGGAAGAAGCUCCUGGGGCGUGAACCAGCAGAUGGAAGACUUCUCUCUCUGCCUUCCUCUCCUCCUCUCUCUCUGUAAUUCUUCCAAAUAAAUAAAUAUAUAUAUAUAUUUUUUUAAAUCCUGCCUGCCCCUCGUGCAAAAUAUUGGUCUGAGAAGUCUGUGCUUCCACCUGAAAUCCUUCAUUCAUCCCAUUUUUUUUUGUAUGCCACAUCUGUGUCAGGUGCUGUUUGAGGCACUGGAGUCACUGUGUUAAGCUGGAUAGCUUUUAGCUCUUAUGAUAAUUUUAGUCUAAUAGGUAAUUAUCAGAAUGAAAAGGAUCAGGGAAGGGUGGUCUUGGGGAUACCAGAACCUACACGGAGAGCAUUAGGGAGGGAAGACUAUACUUUCAAACAGUGAUUUAGUGGAGUCUUGCUCCUAAAAGGACCAUACUCAGGCAACCUCACUGGAGAUGACAGUGAGCUUGAAAUGAUUCUUGUGGGAGAGGAGGCUCCCUCUGUUGCACUGCAGGUCCCCCGCGGAGUUAGAGGAGCGUUCUCACCUGGAGCUCAGCAUGGUGCACCUGGGCUGCAGCCGUGGCCACCUGGUCCUCCAGCUCCGCCAGCUCCGUCUCGUCAGUGCCACUGUGGAUGCAGCGCGCGGCGUCUUCCAGCUCGCUUAGCUGGCCUUCCAGCCCGUACACAGUGCCUGCUGCCAGCAAAACUUUUGGAUGGCAUUCAGGAAUUGAGAAAAACUCAGAAAACAUCAAAGAGGUAUAUACACAGAUACCAGAAUUGGGGACAAGCCAGGUGUUUCUGCACACAGCUUGUGGGCACUCUCUGCACUGAGAACCCGGAGACGCUCCUACUCAUCAAUUCCUUGGCAUGAUCCACUCAUCUGCAUUAAAAAUUGCCAGUUUUAUAAAACAUUUUUAAGUGGGGCAAAGGCAGGGGCAGGUUUGAUGAAAGCGUAUUUGUGCACCAUCACCAGGCGUGAUUAGCUGAGCUGUGCAAGCUUCCAGCAGUGACUGAUGCCACGGAUGUCUCCCCCAGUGAUUGGCCACUUGGGGGCCAUGUUUCAGCUGGCUUUUGUUUUACAUUUCUUUGUCAUAUGCUGACUGUGAGAGACCUGUUCCUGAAAGACCUUCCCAAUUUACUCUUUGUUUUCAAAAGAAGAAAUGGUUUUUUACGGUUUUUCAUAAGAAAAAUACAAUGACUAUCUCAAAGGUAUCUGAGUGGAGAAAUUCCUGAAAAAAAAAAAAAAGUUAUCUCUUAAAAAUUUUGAAGCUGAGAUGCAAUGACUUUGAACAGCCCUUGUCUCGA